UUCAUUAAGACUUUCAAGUAGAGAAAAUAUCGUCAUGGGAAAACUCUUGACAUCUCUUUUGUUCAUCAUUUUUGUUUCAUCUCUUGUCUCUGGUACGAUUGAAUAUGGAAUUGACUCAUAUUUUACUUUUCUUGUUUCAAAUUAGCAAUGGUUUUAUGUUUGGUUCUAACGAGAUAUUUUCAUAUCCAGAUUCUUUGGGUCAAGAAAUUUGUAACACAGAUUUGAUCUAUCCAUGCAGCCAAUGUGAAGGAAUCUGCAAAGAAUAUUUUCUAACUUCUUUUAUUUCUUCUCGUUGUGUGAAGGGAUUACCCGGUCGACCCCUUGCCAUUCUCUGUAGUUGCACACAUUAUUGUUUAUCAUAAGAGUUGAGGGAUUUUCUAUAGUUAUAUACUUAUGUUAUAUUGAUUGAAAUGAAAGAAAUGCAUUACUUCUUUUAUUUCUUCUCGUUUUGUGAAAGGAUUAUCCGAUCAACCCCUUGCCACCUCCUGUAGAUGCACAUAUUAUCGUUUAUAAUAAGAGUUGAGGGAUUUUCUAUAGUUAUAUCGAUUGAAAUAAAAGAAAUGCAUAAUUUAUAUUUCUUUUUGCCAGUGUAUUUUUUAUUUAUGUUAUUACAAUUAACGUGGAAAUGAAUGCUUCAG
rnacentral:lncRNA from 1 species